rnacentral:rRNA from 1 species
AUACGGAGGGGGCAAGCGUUAUUCGGAAUUACUGGGCGUAAAGGGCGCGUAGGCGGUCGGGUCAGUGAGAAGUGAAAGCCCUCAGCUUAACUGAGGAACGGCUUCUCAUACUGCCAGACUAGAGAGUGGGAGAGGAAGAUGGAAUUCCCGGUGUAGCGGUGAAAUGCGUAGAGAUCGGGAGGAACACCAGUGGCGAAGGCGAUUUUCUGGACCACCACUGACGCUGAGGCGCGAAAGCGUGGGGAGCAAACAGGAUUAGAAACCCCGGUAGUCC